GACAGAGGUGCCGAGCGUUAGGCGGAAUCACUGGGCUUAAAGCGUGUGUAGGCGGAUCUGUAAGUACCUUGUGAAAUCCCACGGCUCAACCGUGGAACUGCUUGGUAUACUGCGGGUCUUGAGCCACCUAGGGGCAAGUGGAACAAACGGUGGAGCGGUGAAAUGCGUAGAUAUCGCUUGGAACGCCAAUGGUGAAAACAGCAGGCUGGGGGUGUGCUGACGCUGAGACGCGAAAGCCAGGGGAGCAAACGGG
rnacentral:rRNA from 1 species